UCAGCUGCGCGGGGACUGAGAGGAGCGUGUCGUCGCUGCUGGCUCUGGCUCUUUAAAUACUGGCUGCCUCCGGCACUUCGCGGCCGGCCGAGGGGGGAGCCCAGCCCCGGUGGGCCGGUUGCAGCUCUCCUGGGCUCCUGCAGGAGGCACUGCAGCGGGGUUUCUGUCCGUGGUGCUGGAGAGUCGGCAGUCUCUGUCCGGGGUGCUGAACGGCUCGGUUUGCUGCUGCCGCCUCGCAGACUCGGCCCCCUGUGUCCGGCUUGGCUCCGCACUUCUUUCGGGCUCGUAGUCGUUGGAGCGUUACCGGAACGUCCUUCUGCCCGGAGAUGUGUCUGCGAGGGGGGAGGGGAGGGCAGUAGUCUGAGCGUAAGAUGAGUCAAGACACUACAGAGACACGAACGCGAACCCGCUCCAAAGGCAUCCGGGAACUGGUGGCACAAGAAAUGAAGCAAGACUUAAG